rnacentral:rRNA from 1 species
UAGUCCUAGCCGUAAACUAUGGGUACUAGGCAAUGGGCUAACUUAUGUAGUUCAUUGCCGCAGCUAAUGUGUUAAGUACCCCGCCUGGGGAGUACGCUCGCAAGGGUAAAACUCAAAGGAAUUGACGGGGGAUCACACAAGCAGUGGAGCAUGUUGUUUAAUUCGAAGCAACGCGAAGAACCUUACCAGGCCUUGACAUGCAUGGAUUAGCUUCCUGAAAGGGAAGUGACGCCUCUUCGGAGGUGGAACAUGUGCAGGUGUUGCAUGGCUGUCGUCAGCUCGUGCCGUGAGGUGUUGGGUUAAGUCCCGUAACGAGCGAAACCCUUAUUGUUAGUUGCCAUCAUUUAGUUGGGCACUCUAGAGAAACUGCCGGUGACAAACCGGAGGAAGGUAAGGAUGACGUCAAGUCAGCAUGCCCCUUACGCUCUGGGCUACACACGUGCUACAAUGGUCGUGACAAAGAGUUGCUAGUCUGCGAAGGCAAGCCAAUCUCAUAAACGCGGCCUU